GACGAACGCUGGCGGCGUGCUUAACACAUGCAAGUCGUACGGUAAGGCCCUUUCGGGGGUCCACGAGUGGCGAACGGGUGAGUAACACGUGAGUAACCUGCCCACAACUUUGGGAUAACGCUAGGAAACUGGUGCUAAUACUGGAUAUGUGCUCCUGCUGCAUGGUGGGGGUUGGAAAGCUCCGGCGGUUGUGGAUGGACUCGCGGCCUAUCAGUUUGUUGGUGGGGUAGUGGCCUACCAAGGCGGCGACGGGUAGCCGGCCUGAGAGGGUGACCGGCCACAUUGGGACUGAGAUACGGCCCAGACUCCUACGGGAGGCAGCAGUGGGGAAUAUUGCACAAUGGGCGCAAGCCUGAUGCAGCAACGCCGCGUGCGGGAUGACGGCCUUCGGGUUGUAAACCGCUUUCAGCAGGGACGAAGCUUUUUGUGACGGUACCUGCAGAAGAAGCACCGGCUAACUACGUG
rnacentral:rRNA from 1 species